rnacentral:rRNA from 1 species
GACGAACGCUGGCGGCGUGCUUAACACAUGCAAGUCGAACGGAAAGACCCUGCUUUUGUGGGGUGCUCGAGUGGCGAACGGGUGAGUAACACGUGAGUAACCUGCCCUUGACUUUGGGAUAACUUCAGGAAACUGGGGCUAAUACCGGAUAGGAGCCCCUGCUGCAUGGUGGGGGUUGGAAAGUUUCGGCGGUUGGGGAUGGACUCGCGGCUUAUCAGCUUGUUGGUGGGGUAGUGGCUUACCAAGGCUUUGACGGGUAGCCGGCCUGAGAGGGUGACCGGCCACAUUGGGACUGAGAUACGGCCCAGACUCCUACGGGAGGCAGCAGUGGGGAAUAUUGCACAAUGGGCGGAAGCCUGAUGCAGCAACGCCGCGUGCGGGAUGACGGCCUUCGGGUUGUAAACCGCUUUCGCCUGUGACGAAGCGUGAGUGACGGUAAUGGGUAAAGAAGCACCGGCUAACUACGUG